CCUACGGGGGGCAGCAGUAGGGAAUCUUUCACAAUGGGCGAAAGCCUGAUGGAGCAACGCCGCGUGCAGGAUGAAGGCCUUCGGGUUGUAAACUGCUUUUGUACAAGGGUAAACCUGAAUACGUGUAUUCAGCUGAAAGUACUGUACGAAUAAGGAUCGGCUAACUCCGUGCCAGCAGCCGCGGUAAUACGGAGGAUCCAAGCGUUAUCCGGAUUUAUUGGGUUUAAAGGGUGCGUAGGCGGAUUGAUAAGUUAGAGGUGAAAUGUCCGAGCUUAACUCGGGAACUGCCUCUAAUACUGUUGAGCUAGAGAGUAGAUGCGGUAGGAGGAAUGUAUGGUGUAGCGGUGAAAUGCUUAGAGAUCAUACAGAACACCGAUUGUGAAGGCAGCUUACCAAUCUAUAUCUGACGUUGAGGCACGAAAGCGUGGGGAGCAAACAGGAUUAGAUACCCCAGUAGUC
rnacentral:rRNA from 1 species